CGCUCUGCGCAGCGAUUGGUGCUCUCCGCCGCCUCGUUGAAGGCUCGUAGCGGUGCGGGAGCGCGGGCUCUGAGGGGAGCAAAGAUGGCGGCGGCAGCGUGAGGGCAGCGUGAGGGCAGCGUGAGGGCAGCAUGAGAGCAGCGUGAGGGCAGCGUGAGGGCAGCAUGAGGGCAGCGUGAGGGCAGCGUGUCCGACACAGGAGGAAGCCGCAAGACCGCGCUCACCCUGAGCUCGCACGAGCUUGGCCUGCUCCCACAGCCCCGUGCAGCCUGCCCGACAUAAGCGUGGCUGCCCCUCCCGUCUCUACAAGCACCUUCCUUCUCAGCCUGUGUCCUGCUUCAGGGAAGGCCUGCGGCUCCCACAGCCACCGAGCUGCCACGGAAGGCGAAUGAGCUGUGAGGGGUGAUACUCCCCUUCAGUGAAGUCCUGCCCUAGCACGGUGUUGUAGUGCUUGUGCUGUAAAUGCUCCAGACAUCUACCCAAAUUUAGAGGAAAAACUACUUAAUGAUUGCGUGGAAACACAAAAACCCACAGCAAUACAAACCAUCCUGCAAGUGCAACACCCGUGCCUUUGUCAGCUGUCUUCAGUGCUUCGUUUCACAUGUUUGCUGUAGAUCUUGCCCAACAAAAUGUAAAAGCUGUGCUGGA